AGAGCGAACGCUGGCGGCAGGCCUAACACAUGCAAGUCGAGCGCCCGUAGCAAUACGGGAGCGGCAGACGGGAUAGUAACACGUGGGAACGCGCCCUUCGGUUCGGAAUAACUCAGGGAAACUUGAGCUAAUACCGGAUACGCCCUUACGGGGAAAGAUUUAUUGCCGAAGGAACGGCCCGCGUCCGAUUAGCUAGUUGGUGAGGUAAUGGCUCACCAAGGCGACGAUCGGUAGCUGGUCUGAGAGGAUGAUCAGCCACACUGGGAUUGAGAACGGCCCAGACUCCUACGGGGGGCAGCAGUGAGGAAUUUCGUCAAUGGGGGCAACCCUGAACGAGCAACGCCGCGUGCAGGAAGACACUUUUCGGAGCGUAAACUGCUUUUCUCGGGGACGAGUAAGGACGGUACCCGAGGAAUCAGCCCGGCUAACUACGUGCCAGCAGCCGC
rnacentral:rRNA from 1 species